rnacentral:tRNA from 1 species
UCUAUGGUGGCUCAGACGGUAAAGUGUCUGCCUGCAAUGCGGGAGACCCAGGUUCGAUCCCUGGAUUGGGAA